GUUGAACUUUCUCUCUCCUCUUUUCUCCUGUUCUGCUAGCUUCACAGCCAUUUCAUCCCCAAUUUUGAAGAUCUAUUGCAACAGUUACUUUUAGGUUGAUCUUCAAUUUUCCAUGGCAGGAGAGAAUUCAACUUGAGACGGCUCGGUUGUAUAAGCUCGCUCGCAUUAAUCCACUGACAGUUUAUAAUGUCAUUUCGUACAAGGAUAAACCGCCCCUGAAGACGGCUGUUGAGAUGCUUCACACAACAGACAAGAUAGCUCGUCGACUGGAACAAGCAGCUGAUAUAAAGGUUCUUGCCUCCCUUGGCAGAAAGGAAUUGAUAUACGGUGAUAGUUUUCCGGAAUGGAUAUCAUUUCCUAUUUUGAGCAGCUGGUGCUUUUACUGGAGCCGUUACUGGAGCUUUAGCUGGCAGGGCUUCAGAUAGUGGUUUACUCAGAGGUGCAGGGUUGGGUGCCGUGGUAGGUGUUGUUCUAUAUGUGGAGGUUUUGGAGGCUUCUCAUGCUUAUUGGUGUUCACGGCAUUCUGGUUCACUUAGUACAUCAUCCAUGGUUAGUAUUAUAUGGGAUCAUUGUUGGUAGAUAUAGUUUUAUAACUAGAUGCUGCAACUACAUUUCUAGAAAACUGAAGGUGACUGUGGACCGAUAAAAGGUUUCUAGUCACAGCUAUCUGUAAGCAUUGAUCAUUGAUUUGUUGAUAUGAAUUACCGUGAGACCAUGUUUCUCUAACAUGGCUGCUUCGAGUUCAUCAGGACUGAAUCUGUAUUUAGCUUAUCAUGCAUUAUGUUCAAAGCAGAUUGCAGAUUAGUUUUCAAACAGUUUUGUUAUGUAGCAGGCUGGGCUUUAGCUGCUUAGAUUCACUC